UACGUAGGGUGCGAGCGUUAAUCGGAAUUACUGGGCGUAAAGCGUGCGUAGGCGGUUGGCAAAGUCAGCUGUGAAAGCCCCGGGCUCAACCUGGGAAUGGCGGUUGAAACUAGUCGACUCGAAUCUGGCAGAGGGGGGUGGAAUUCCACGUGUAGCAGUGAAAUGCGUAGAGAUGUGGAGGAAUACCGAUGGCGAAGGCAGCCCCCUGGGCCAAUACUGACGCUCAUGCACGAAAGCGUGGGGAGCAAACAGG
rnacentral:rRNA from 1 species